rnacentral:rRNA from 10 species
GUCUCUGGCCAUACCACCCUGAACAUGCCUGCUCUCGUCUGAGCUCAGAAGCUAAGCAGGGUCGGGCCUGGUUAGUACUUGGAUGGGAGAAU